ACAUUUUGCAUAAUUGUGCGGUCGAAGGGGUAGGCAAAGCCUGACUUUGAUAAUUGACUUCCAUUUUAACGCAAUCCAAUCGUUUUUACGAGGCCUACCCGUACUGGAAAUCUUGCACAAGGUUGUUCAUUAUUUGAAAGUGACUGAAUAGUGAUGCUUUGUAACAGUGCUAGGAGAAAAUACAAAGUUGGGCGCUAGGAUAUCCAACCUAUUGUGAAAUCCCAUAUGGAAAAAGUAAUAGCGAUGCUAUUUGAAAGUCAAUUGUAAAUGUUUUUUUUCUAAGUUUGAGGAGAUUCGGUAGAAACCGAAUGAUUAGAAAAUUGGGAAAAUUGUUUUUUAGAGCAAAAAAAUGGUAACUAUGUCCUUUUAUACUAAUCUAUACUACUUUAUGUCCCAUUAGACUAAUUUUUUUCAAAAUGGCAGUAAUGCCCUUAAAAUUGUAAUUUUUUAUUACUUUUUCGUUUUUUUAUUUUUUUUUUGUUCCUUUUUCGUUUUUUUUUAUUUUUUUUUUAAAUCGAUUUUUUUUUUCAAAAUAUAAAAGUGAAUAUUCCCAAAUAUUUUGUUUCCAUAUUUUUAGGAACUGAUUUCUUAUCCGUAGAAUACAACUAAUAUGUAGAAAUCGGUUUCUACAGUUUUUUUGAAUUAUAGUAAUGUUUAGAUUUUGAUUUCUACAUGUUUUAGAUUUAUAGUAAAUCUGUAGAAGUCAGAUUCUACGUGUUUUAGAUUUAUAUUAAUGUGUAGAUUUUGAUUUCUAAAGAUUUUAGAACGAUAGGUUAAACGCGGAAUGUGUAUUCUAAAUAUUUUUAGAAUACUCCUAUUUACGUAGAUCACAUAUUCUAAAUAUUGUAGAUUCAAUGAAAAAAGUAGAUUUCGUUUUCUACUUCGUAGAAUGUCAUUUCUACUUUAUUUAGAACAUAAUAUGAAAUUUAUAAUUUU
rnacentral:lncRNA from 1 species